rnacentral:rRNA from 1 species
UCCGCCCGGGUACUACGAGCUUAGCUUAAAACCCAAAGGACUUGGCGGUGCCCUAUUCCAUCUAGAGGAGCCUGUUCUUUAAUCGAUAAUCCACGAUUCACCUUACCAUUUCUUGCCAAAACAGCCUAUAUACCGCCGUCGUAAACUUACCCUUUGAAGGAAUCAUAGAAAGUUUAAAGGUACCCGCCAAAACGUCAGGUCCACGUGUAGCAAAUGAAAUGGGAAGAAAUGGGCUACAUUUUCUAUAAUAGACCAAACGGAUAAUCAAUAUGAAAUCUGAUCAUGAAGGAGGAUUUAGUAGUAAAAAGAAAUCAUCAAAUUCUUUUUAACUUGGCCCUGGGGCGCGCACACACCGCCCGUCACCCUCUUCGACUAUAUUAAUUUUAUACUUAAUAACUAUUUUAAAACUUAGAAGAGGAAAGUCGUAACAUGGUAAGUAUACCGGAAGGUGUACUUGGA